GAGACACCACAUGAUGUGGUAAGGUGAGGGGGGCGGGGCACUCGACAUAUUCUCCCCGAAGCUGCUCUUUGCGUCAUGCGUGUGUGCGUGGACUGCACCCCCACUUCAUCGUCCGCCCUCAUGACGUGCGGGGGUGGGGAGGGGCCACUUCAGCGUGGCAUCUCAGGAUACAGGGGGGGGGGGCGCUCGCUCUCUCUCUCUGUGUGCGGAGGAGCGAAGCAGCCCCCCACCGCCCACCCUCUUCGCUAUCCCUGCCAAUGCGAGGCCACUUCUGGUGGUGGCAAGCUCAAACGCGCCUCAUGAUGUGUCGGAGGCGCCAGAGCGAUGCGUCGCUGCUGACGCCGGCGGCCAGGUCCCGGAGUGGGGCGGUGUCGGUGCGACCUGCGACCGUGAACACGUCUGUGCCGCCCACAUCGAUGGGCAAAGCGCCAGCGGGAGUCGAGCGAAUCCCACCCAACCCUCACACCGCCCACUGCGGGGGGGGGCCGGGGUGUCGCCCCGCGAGGGGUGCACCGCAGGGGUGGCGGCCGGCAUAACGGGCCGGCUGUGAGGCGGCCUGCACAGCGGCGGGUGCCGGGUGGAGAGAAGCUUGGCUCACGCUGUAUGUUAUAACGGACAUGUAGAAGAGUCUGCUGGCUAAGUGUUUCGUGUGUAUGUGUGUGCACGGUGAGUUUUCCCGAGUGCCCACCCCCUUCGGCUUCUCCCCUCUCCUUCCCUGAACUGCACCCGCUGUCUUCCUGUCGGUGUUACACAGGUUGUUCAGACUCUUUCGCCUUUUAGGGCCCCCCUCACGCGCGCGUACAGGACUAGGCCGACUGCACGAUAACCGCUUGUCGGUGUGCCCUACUCGACGACUUUGCGCUUGCUCUUUCCUAUACCCACCCACGUUGCGCUCCGCGGAGUGCGUCGCGGCGUGUGUCUCUCGGUCUCUCCCCACUCAACCCAUCCGCCCCGCGCUUGUCUGUGUGUGCAGCCUCUCCACUACUACCUCACGCUCCGUACCUACCGCUUUCGUUGUUCUUACACCCGAUACGGUCACCCGCAUCUAUCACCACCACCACCUCCUCGUCCUCCGCGGUGGCUGGCGCUGCUUAUGUGGCGUACAG
rnacentral:misc_RNA from 1 species